ensembl:lncRNA
GUUUAAAUAAAGACAAUAUUUGUAAAGAUAAAAACGUAUAAGUGUAAGUAUGUCUAAGUAUUUCUGAACAAUAGUAAAUUCUGAAGGACAGAGUAUGUGAAUUAAUACCAGAAAGUAUAUAUUACUAGUUAGUAGAACUGCUACUUGAGCUGAGUUGCUGACAGACAGCAGUUUUCAAAGUGUAAACUAAUCAGUAGACCCACAUGUUAUCAGUAACACGUCUGGUAAAGAUGGUGGAGGAGCUUUUCAAUGAUAUGGUUUUAUGUUUAUCUCAGGGUUUCUCCAUCCUUUUGUUCUUACCAGCACUUACACACCUGAUUCAACUAAUCAUCACAUAUUUUAAGACAGUUUAAUAUUUGAGGCAUACAAAUGAACAUUCUCAAAUUAAAACCUUUUGGAUUUGGUAAACCUGUUAACAAUUAUUAAAGGCCUACAGUAAUGUAAGAGAGACGUCUCGAAGAAGGACUAUACAUUUUUUUGAAGCAAGAUGCGGCACAAUGUCAUGAUUUACUGCUGUCGCAUGAAGCUGACUGUUAGCGCCACCCUCUGGUUACUGUUGUUAUGUGAAGGGGUGACGCCUUGACUGCAGUUGAAAUUGAAAACAGAAAGUAUCUGUACAGGGCCAUUUUGAGAUGACAGAGCAGCUCAUAGUUGAAUCUCUAAACUGCAACGCAGUUUCACAGUAAAGUGAGUAUUUCAGGUUAAUAAUCUAGAAUAAAGUAGAGGGGACAUGUGGAAUACAGUAAACUAG